rnacentral:rRNA from 1 species
CAGUCGCCGCGGUAAUACGAGGGGGGCAAGCGUUGUUCGGAAUUAUUGGGCGUAAAGGGUGCGUAGGCGGUUUGGCAAGUUUGGUGUGAAAUCUUCGGGCUCAACUCGAAGUCUGCAUCGAAAACUGCCGGGCUUGAGUAUGGGAGAGGUGAGUGGAAUUUCCGGUGUAGCGGUGAAAUGCGUAGAUAUCGGAAGGAACACCUGUGGCGAAAGCGGCUCACUGGACCAUAACUGACGCUGAUGCACGAAAGCUAGGGGAGCAAACAGGAUUAGAUACCCGAGUAGUCCCUGUCUCUUAUAA